CUACGGGAGGCUGCAGUGGGGAAUAUUGGACAAUGGGCGAAAGCCUGAUCCAGCCAUGCCGCGUGUGUGAAGAAGGCCUUCGGGUUGUAAAGCACUUUCAGUGGGGAAGAAAGCCUUGGGGCUAAUACCCUCGAGGAAGGACAUCACCCACAGAAGAAGCACCGGCUAACUCCGUGCCAGCAGCCGCGGUAAUACGGAGGGUGCGAGCGUUAAUCGGAAUUACUGGGCGUAAAGCGCGCGUAGGCGGUCUGAUAAGCCGGUUGUGAAAGCCCCGGGCUCAACCUGGGAACGGCAUCCGGAACUGUCAGGCUAGAGUGCAGGAGAGGAAGGUAGAAUUCCCGGUGUAGCAGUGAAAUGCGUAGAGAUCGGGAGGAAUACCAGUGGCGAAGGCGGCCUUCUGGACUGACACUGACGCUGAGGUGCGAAAGCGUGGGUAGCAAACAGGAUUAGAUACCCGUGUAGUC
rnacentral:rRNA from 1 species